GGUCCGGACAGCCCGACCACCAGACAGCCCGACCCUGGACAGCCCGACCCGCUGCCCUGGACAACUCGUCCCGGUCGAGUUGUCCAGGGUUGGCUCUGAAUCGGACAACUCGACCACUUGAAUUCUUCUUCAAAAUUUCAUGAAAUGAAAUUUCAAACUUUACUUCAAAAGUAUUUUCCGCAUAAUCCAUGUUUCUUCAAUACAUUCUCGACAGAAAAAUUGACAUUUCAGUGCAUUUUGAGCUAUUUUGAAAGAAAAUAAAGCGAGUUCCCUUGCAACGAGAAUAAUCCGAUACCGCCGGCGAGCCGUGUUCAUUCAACUUACAACUUGCAAAUUUGAGUUGAUUUUUCCGUCACUUUACAUAUUUUAAUGUAUCUGUCACAGCUUUUUUUCUGAUGCAAAUUCCACUGGAAACAACAGGUUUUCUGGAGGAUACAAGCACUUGGGCUGGUCCCAACCACCUACACCCGGGAUGAGAAGAGGUUUCAUACUCGACAAGCGAUGGCCUUGGCUUUCCAUUUCUUUCACGAGCAGAAAUGAUACCGAGUUCCAAUGACUUGGGCAUCAGAGCAGCAGUGCCUUGAUCGAUGAGCUCUUUGAGACCACCUGAAUUGCAAGCUCUGUAUGGCCAGUUUAUGUGUGACAAAAUAAGAGAUGAGGAAGGGAUCAUGUAAUUGCCAUGGAAACCAAAUAUAGUAACGUAUAACAGGUUGUAUAUUCCUGAAAGUGCAAUUGUUGGAUAAAUGUUAAUUUAUAUUGGCACUAAUGUAAUUUUAAGAUCGUCCUUAGCUUUACAUAAACACCAAGAGCAGAGGAUAUUGUUCCCAGUUGGAAUUGUGUCAUAUUUAUUUUCAUAAGAGUAUUAUCAUAAUUGUGGUAAUGUAAUCCUAUUUGAAACUUUGAACCAGUAUAAAUGUGGGAUAUAAUAUGUUUUAUAUACACUGAAGUUCAAUAUGUGUUACUAUGUAAUUUUAGAUCUGAUUAAGUUUACCUUAAAUGUUACUUAAUAAAACCCACUUAACUCCAAAGAAGUAUUUUGAAUAUUUGGUUCUUGCACUAUUUUGUAUCUCUUUUCUCGCUGAAUAUUUACCUUUUAUUGAGAGCUGCGGUGACGGGUUCCAUGACAUUUGCUCUGGCAAAUUCCACACCAUAAUCUUAUGAACAGCUUCAACCAGCAAGGUCUAAACCUAACUUAAAACCAUAUUGCAACCCUGAACCUCUAUCAUAAGGGGCUUUCACAAUUGCUCGUGCGAUUAUUUGCGAUCACUUGGUCACAAUAUAUGUUGCACAGAAUUGCAACUGUGAAGGGUCGUAAGUAGUUGCGCAGCCAAUUGUGAAAAGGGCUUUAGACAAAAUUAAGCCUGGGGGCAAUUGUCGCAGGAGCAAAUGUUGUGUCACAUGGUAAUCAGAUGGAGAUGAUUGGAGAGAUGAAGAUGGGGGGGGGAGGAUGGAGAUGAAAGGUGGGAUGGUCAUGACGAGGAGUGAUGGAGUUGAGAGGGGUGUGGAUGAUGAGUGGAUGGAGAUGAUGAGAGGAGGGAUGAUACAAGGAUGGAUUGAGAUGAUGAAAGGUGGAAUGGCCAUGAUGAGGAGUGAUGGAGUUGAUGGGAGGGGUGUGGAUGGAGAUGAUGAGAGGAGGGAUGGGAUGAGGCAAGGAUGGAUGGAGAUGAUGUGGAAGGGUUGACAGGAGUAGGGGGUGGAGAUGAGGAAGAGAUUGAAAUGAAAUAGGGAUGGAGAUGCGAAAAUGGUUGGAGAAGACGGGAAUGGAGAUAAUGGGGGUGGAGAUGUCAGGCGGCGUGUUGAUAAUGAGAGAAGAAAGAUAAAAGGGCAGGGGGGUGAUCAUCAUCACAAACAUUGCCUCCACCAACUUCAUCAUUACCAUCAUCGUCAUUAUGACAUCAUCAUCACCACAAACUUCAUCAUUAUCAUUGGCGUAAUGAGUGAAAGAUUUUGAGGGGUAAGAUAUGGCCCAUCAUGCCAAAGUUAUUUUUUUACAUUUUUAUUACACAAACUCAUUUUUUUUAUUAUGACAUCAUACUAAAACUCUUCUCUCUUUUCGUUUCUCUUUCAUUCUUUUUUUUGUAUUUUAUCUUCUUUUUUGAGGGGGGGGGGUGCUCUUGCCCCCAAGACCAUGAUCCCCUACCACCUGUAUUCCACUGUUCAUUACCAACACCAUCUACUAUCGUCAUAAUCAUCAA